CCGAAUGGCUAAUUCCGCAUAUCGAGCGAAAUCUUGAAAGCUUCGGCGCCAAGGAGCAACCUGCGGCCCAUUAGCUUGUUGGUAGGGUAACGGCCUACCAAGGCGAUGAUGGGUAGCUGGUCUGAGAGGAUGAUCAGCCACACUGGAACUGAGACACGGUCCAGACUCCUACGGGAGGCAGCAGUGGGGAAUAUUGCGCAAUGGGCGAAAGCCUGACGCAGCCACGCCGCGUGAGUGAUGAAGGCCUUCGGGUCGUAAAACUCUGUCGGGAGGGACGAAGGGGCAACCCUGACGGUACCUCGCAAGAAAGCACCGGCUAACUCUGUGCCAGCAGCCGCGGUAAUACAGAGGGUGCAAGCGUUGCUCGGAUUUAUUGGGCGUAAAGCGCACGCAGACGGUAUGGAAGGUCGGACGUGAAAUCCCUGGGCUCAACCUAGGAACUGCGUUCGAAACCACCAAACUAGAGUUCGGAAGAGGGAGGCGGAAUUCCUGGUGUAGAGGUGAAAUUCGUAGAUAUCAGGA
rnacentral:rRNA from 1 species